rnacentral:rRNA from 1 species
UACGUAGGUGGCAAGCGUUAUCCGGAUUUACUGGGUGUAAAGGGCGUGUAGGCGGUUUUGUAAGUCGGAUGUGAAAUUCCCAGGCUUAACCUGGGAGCUGCACCCGAAACUAUAGAACUUGAGUACUGGAGAGGAUAGUGGAAUUCCUAGUGUAGCGGUAAAAUGCGUAGAUAUUAGGAGGAACAUCAGUGGCGAAGGCGACUAUCUGGACAGUAACUGACGCUGAGGCGCGAAAGCGUGGGGAGCAAACAGG